rnacentral:sRNA from 1 species
AAACGUGGAAAACUGAGUGGACAUGGUGUUCAGGAGAUUGAGGCUCAGCUAAAUUCCAGCUUAUUUACCUGCAGUUGCUUACAAAGUGUUUGGACAUAAUUGUGUAAAGCUAGGGUUUUUUUUCUGGUUUUUAAAACAGGUAAAGGAUGUCACAGCACCACUUAAUAACAUUUCUUCUGAAGUCCAGAUUUUAACAUCUGAUGCCAAUAAAUUAACUGCUGAGAACAUCACUAGUGCUACGCGAGUGGUUGGACAGAUAUUCAACACUUCCAGAAAUGCUUCACCUGAGGCAAAGAAAGUUGCCAUAGUAACAGUGAGUCAACUCCUAGAUGCCAGUGAAGAUGCUUUUCAAAGAGUUGCUGCUACUGCUAAUGAUGAUGCCCUUACAACGCUUAUUGAGCAAAUGGAGACUUAUUCCUUGUCUUUGGGUAAUCAAUCAGUGGUGGAACCUAACAUAGCAAUACAGUCAGCAAAUUUCUCUUCAGAAAAUGCGGUGGGGCCUUCAAAUGUUCGCUUCUCUGUGCAGAAAGGAGCUAGCAGUUCUCUAGUUUCUAGUUCAACAUUUAUACAUACAAAUGUGGAUGGCCUUAACCCAGAUGCACAGACUGAGCUU